rnacentral:lncRNA from 1 species
CAAAUAACUUUAGUGGCCCCAUUCCAUCAAUAUUUAUCAAAGGGUGUAGUCUUUGGUCCAUCAAUUUGAGUGGUAAUAAAUUGCAAGGAAGAUUACCUAAAUCCUUAAUCAAUUGCAAAAGUCUGAAGGGUCUCGACGUUGGAAAUAAUAAAAUACAAGAUGAAUUUCCGUUUUGGAUGGAAGGUCUUCCUAACCUUCAAGUACUCAUAUUGAAGUCCAACAAGUUUGAUGGUAACAUGUCGCUGCCUUCACGAAGCAACCUUCCAUUUCAAAAGUUGCAAGUUUUAGAUAUAUCCGACAAUGAAUUUGUGGGGUCUCUCCCUCAAACAUAUUUCAAGAACUUUAGAGCAAUGAUGGAUGUGAAGGAAAAUAAGACAGAUCUAAUUACAAGUAGUGAUGAUGACUCUUUUCUAAGGUAUGUGGAGAUGAGAAUCACCUUGAAAGGUUUGGAUCUGUUAUUGAAGAGACUGUUGAAAACCUUUACAAUAGUUGAUUUAUCCUCCAAUAAUUUCUCUGGUAGUAUUCCAGAUUCCAUAGGUAAUCUGAAUUCUCUGAGAUACUUGAAUUUUGUCACACCCCAAUUCUUGAAACAAUAACUAUAACUGGGGUACGACUAAUCAUCUAAAUGAACAAGGGAAAAUCCUUGUGAAAUCCGAAUAAAAGGGAUAACAAUCGGGCUUAGCCCCUUUGGAUGAGGAAAGACAGGUAUUCAAGUGAUACGAAUCAAUCAACAAACAUAAUAACUUCAGGAUCACAAGUUUAGUGUCAUGCUUCAGAUAACCAACAUUCACUGAUCGAAAUACUUGCGAGUCAAUAGUCUAGGCUCAACAAAAGAUAUUGUUAAGAAUUUCAACAUAGUAGGUCUUAAGUUAAGGAACAAAAGACAGAUACUGGCUAGUUCUGCAGCGGAAAUCAAAAUAAGGAGUUGAACUCUAGCCUCAGCUUUGCCCCGUCAUCACCAGCCAUUAACCUGAAAACAUUUGAAAAUAUUUUUGGGCUAAGUACUAGUGUACUUAGUGGGCUGCAACUUUUAAAGCAUUUCAUAAUCUGAAGAACAGUUUAUCUAAUCUUACUGACAUGACAUAGAAGGUUUUUAAAGAGAAAUAACUUCUAUGCAUGUUAAAACAUUUCAUAAAUAUAUAUAUAUACUUAAUUAUUUUGCGCGCGUUUGCACACUCCAUUCUGUUACUCGCUGUGAUCCCGGACCAUUUAGCCACCGACGGAUCUCUGUCUCCCGCUGACUUGAACUGAGGGCGUAACCCAGCCAAGUAUAAUAAACCUCAGAAAUUAAUCCAGACAGGCCUAUCAUUACUAUGCUCCGGAACACAUCCCGUCGAGCACCCUUAUAACACAUCCCGACAGCGGCAGGGCCGCCGCGCUCUGGCCUCCCUCUGUCUGACUCCCGCCGGCGACAACGCCACCCACGUGACACCGCCCCCUUCCCCCAUCCGGCAGACACAUCAGCCGACAAGCUAACCGCCGCCGCUGACCUCCCUCGCAAUCUCUCUCUCUCUCUCUCGGUCAGUGGCAGACCACCACCACCGCCGGACGGACAGCAGCGAUGAGCCGCCGCCGCCUCCCUUUUCUCCUUCACCCUCCUCAGUCAGCCUCCAUCCCCCGACUCGAUAGACAAAAACCAAGUUCAAGACUCCAUUUUCGACAUGUUUCAAAACAUUUCUACUCUUCUUUUCUUCUUUACAGACAUGCUUGAAUGUAAAUAUAUAUGACAGUGUAUGAAUAUGCACCGAAAUGAUGAGAUGAGAGUACGUGUGUGAUUCUUGCUUGCAGUGAAGAUCUUUAUACAAAAUGAAGUGGGUUUCUUAAUCAAACUGUGAAAUGAAAAUAAGCAAGAAUUAAAAGAUGAAACCUUUGAAUGUUUAGUGGGGAAAGUCCUCAAGCUGAAAGCUUCGUGUGAUCUUCAAGAGUUUUUGAUUUGAGUUUGCUCUCUCUGUUUCAGUUUUCCUUCACGAAAUGAGUUGUGUGGAGUGGUGAAGGAAAGGUCUUGAUUGAAUUGGGAGAAGUAGUUGAAUUGGCAGAGAAGUUUGGGGCAUUUGAUUGCCUCUGCCAAGCAUGGCAUAAAGCCUGAAUUUGGGCUGCUUGAAUAGGUGUAGGGCGGCUGAUGGGAGGGAUGAGUGUAAGUGUUGAUUGGACUAAUAAAAUCCCUCAGGAUAAAAUAUCGAGACUGUAAUAAUACUUCAGGGUUUGCUAAUUAAAAGCUCAUGAAAAUGCUUGAAUGCUAAAUUAAAUAAAUAUGCAAUGCAUAUAAACUUAAUAACUAAAUUUACAAAAGCUUUUGUAAAUCAUUUUUGUUGGAAUUAAAAUAAAUUCUUUUUCUCAAAUCCGGCGUGAAUCAUCUUAAAACUAAGUUCAAAAUUACUCUAAACUUAGCUCGAGGAAACGGGGUAUUACAAAUUUGUCGCACAAUAAUCUCAUGGGACACAUACCUGCAUCUCUUGGAAAUAUAAGCGUGAUUGAAUCAUUGGACUUGUCAUCGAACAAAUUGGAGGGAGGAAUUCCAAGUGAACUGACAAGCUUGACAUUUCUUGCGAAAUUAAACCUUUCAAUGAAUGAUCUCGUGGGAAACUUGAGAAUGUGUGGAUUUCCGUUGACGAGAAAAUGCAACGAGAAGAAUGAGCAGCAGAUGCAGCCAGAAGAAGAAGAUGAGUAUGGAUUUAUAGAUGGAUUUGGAUGGAGAAGUGUGGUGAUGGGAUAUGGAAGUGGAAUCAUAGUUGGAAUUGGAAUUGGUUGUUAUAUAUUUAUUUAUAAGAUUUAUCAAUAGUUAUAGAUAUAUAACAUAUAGAUUUAGUGUAAUAUCUAAUGAAUAAUAUAUUCUUAUAAAUAUAUAAUUAAUAUACCUUAAAAUAAAAUAUGUAAUAGGGGUAAAAUAGGCAAUCCAUAUGUUGUGCAUAAGGCUCUUUUUGUAGGUCCUCAAUUCAUAAAUUCAAAAUUAAAUAGAAUUCUAAUGCAAUUAAAAAUCUACUCUUAUCAUAUUUAUAAUUUGAUGUAAAUACGUUUUAGUUUGAAUUAUUAAAAUAUCUAUGUUUUAGUUUGGAUCAUUAUAAAGUAUUAUAUCUGAUACAUGUAAAAUUAAAUAGAAUUCUAAUGCGAUAAGAAAUCUACUCUUAUCAAGUUUGAAUUAUUAAAAUGCCUAUGUUUUAGUUUGGAUUAUUAUAAAGUAUUAGAUUUAUUUUAUAAAAUAUAUAAUAGCGGUAAAAUAGGCAAUCCACAAGUGGUCUCAUAGAAUGCUUAGACUCUUUUUCUAUUAGUAUAGAUUUAUAUAAAGGGUUCUCCAAUUUUCAGGUCCAAUACCAUUCACCAUUGGAAAUCUAUCAAAUUUGUGGGAUCUAGACCUCUCUUCCAACAAAUUAAAUGGUGAGCUUCCAUUCUCCAUAUGCAACAUGACAUCCCUUCAAAUUCUUAUUUUCUCAAAUAACAGUUUGGAAAUCUUUGGACAUAUUUCAUCUAAAAUACUUCAGGUGCAUAAAAUGUAUUUCUUCAUUGCCAUGUUUCUUUAUGUAUCCAGAUUGUCUCUAAAGCAAUAUAUAUCUACAUUGACUUCUCAAACUUACAGGUCCAAUACCAUCCACCAUUGGGAAUCUAUCAAAUUUGGAGUAUUUAUUGCUCUCUUCCAACAAAUUAAAUGGUGAGCUUCCAUUCUGCAUCUGCAACUUGUCAUCCCUUCAGUUUCUUCUACUCUCAAAUAACAGUUUGGAAGGGACAGUUCCACAAUGCUUUCGAAACUUGAGCAAAUCGUUGUCCAUAUUUCAUUUAAAUGCAAAUAAUUUUAGUGGCCCCAUUCCAUCAAUAUUUAUCAAAGGGUGUAGUCUUCGGUCCAUCAAUUUGAGUGGUAAUAAAUUGCAAGGAAGAUUACCUAAAUCCUUAAGCAAUUGCAAAAGUCUGAGGGGCCUCGAUGUUGGAAAUAAUAGAAUACGAGACAAAUUUCCGUUUUGGAUGGAAGCUCUUCCUGAGCUUCAAGUGCUCGUCUUGAAGUCUAACAAGUUUGAUGGUAAC